rnacentral:lncRNA from 1 species
CCGCUCAAGAUUUUCUGGAGGAAACUACUCAUAGAGCUUGGAAGGGCGGAGAGGAAACAGAUGCAAAGAAUAUUGGAAGUGAAGACAAUGAUAGAGAUGUAAAAGGAAUCCCUGAUGUGGCACCUCAGGGAGAUUAUAAUACAAAGACACCAGAUAAUACAUACACAAAAGAAAUUAUGAUAGCAAUAGAACAAGAAGAUGAGGCAAGGACACAAGUGAGAUCAGACAAUGAGGAAACAGAAGGUGAAAAGGUAUCAACAUAUCAACUCUGCCCUUUUCAACUUUUGUAGUCUUUUUAAGCAUUUGCUAAUUACUAAACUGUUGACACGUGUAACGAAUUAGGACUGAAGAGGAAACUUGAGCAAUGAUUAUAUGAUUAUAUAGAUAUAAGCCAUAUCUGUUGUUUCCGUGAUACUGUAUUUUCUUUUGUGCUAGUUACCAUUAGCUUUAUUUUUUUAUCAAACCAUUUUAUUAACUUCUUACAAUUUCAUUUAAGCAGAUAUCUAGUGUCAAAGGUGACAGUGAACCCACAAAGGUGGAGAAUGAAUACAUAAGCAACACUGUUGGUGAUGCCUCUGAUACAGGAGAGCCAACUGGGAAGCCUGCAGACGUAGAUGAUGUGGUAGACGAUGUGCAGGAAGAAACCAUAGGAUCUACAUGUGACGAACAACAUCAGGAAAAUAUUGAGAGCAACGAAAAAAACGAGGAUGGUGAACAGAGAGAAGACAAACAUCAAACUCUUCAACAAGAGGAAUUAGUUUCUGAAGUUGAAAAUCAAGAGACAACCUCCACAACAGGCGCUAAAAAGAUGGAGAUCUCAAAAGAAGGCGAAAACCUCAUUAAUAUGGUAACCUGCUUUAUUCAAUUGCAUAGUAUGUUAAAUUCCUUGGGACCUUUCUGGAAGCUAAAAUAACUUACCCAGCAUAUCUUCUCUUACUGACUCGAGAACUAUUUAUUUCUUGAUUGUUAAGGAGAACAAAAUUAUGUCUAAACCGAAGAGCAAAAAAAGUAAGCAAACUUAUUUUUAAGGAUAUGAUAAAUCACCUUGUAGGUGAACUGGUGAAGCAUAUUAGUUUAUAUCAUCAUGGCGGAAAAUUGUCUAAAGUCAAAGUCUGUUCUCAUAAUCACUAAUUGUUACCUCCAUCCAAUACUAGUUAUCUACACAUACAUUAAGGGUUUGUAUAUUGCGCAGUUGUAGAGAUUUUUUACACUCCCUAUCAACCAUUACCACAUGCACCUUGAGCAAACAGAAAGUCAUCAGCUGAACAAGAUACUCGUGCGUCUAAGAUUCUAAAUAGGCCAUAUAGAUUUUGCAUUGAAAGACAAUACAAUAAUUCUAGCCUGUCAACUAUUUUUGAAACUUGUCUUUUAUUAAACCUCUAAUUUACCUACUGUGGGCAGAUUUCUGAAUCAGUAAAUCUGGAGGAAACUAAAAUUGAAAAUGACACGGAUGAUGAGAAGAUCAAGGAGAGCGUUGAAGAUAAUCCCCGAGAUCAUGCCUUGCUUUCACAAACAAGACAUGAUGUAGCAGACGAAGACCACACAAAAGCAGAUCAAAGUUUGGAAGGGAAGGACGGUAAUAUUGUAAGUCUUGAGAAAGAAAGUAUCAAAAGCAAGGGACCUGAUGAGGUUCACCCCAGUGAAUCAGAAGCACAUCAGCGUUUGGUGGACAAAGACAACAAUAUUGUAAGUCUUGAAAAAGAAAGCAUUGAAAGCAAAGGGCCUGAUGAGGUUCAACCCGGUGAAUCAGAAGCCACCAAGGUAGACUUUCUUUUGAAUUCUUCAAAACUUUAUGUAUUUAAUUUAACUAUUCAAUUUGCUUUCCUUAAACUCUCUGUUUUUCCAACAUGCCUCCUCAUCUCAAGUUUGACUUGUGAAAAUUUUGAUCAAGCAGGUUGCUGAAAUUGUUAGCACAACUGACGAAGCUGAAACUACGUCUGUAGAUGGAGGGGAAAGUGUUGAUGUUGACAAAGAUAAGGCAGAGUAUCAAGAGCACAAAAACGUUAUAGAGUCAGUGAUGGAGGAAUAUAAUAAAGGGGGAGCAAAUGAAACACAAAUGGCCAAGAGCCACCAGGUAAUAAUUGAUUCAAUGCCACGUAUGGUUUCGUACUAAGUCCAAAAUUCGUAUAUUUUACUGCAUGGCCAGAAGUAUAGAAACGAUUGAACUAAUAAUUCUUAGCUUCUCCUCUAAAACCCCCAUUUCUAUAUAACAUUAAUUGUUGUCCUAUCUUGAUCAGAUUCCUGAAAUGGAUGAUCUAAGCCCUGAAAAGGCUUCGGAGACAAAUGAAUCGGUGAUGAAAGAUAUGCAUGACAAAACUAAAACAAAGCAUGAAGAAGAGCCAGAUUUUGCAAGUAACAAGCCAAUUAAUCAGACUACCAUGCCUGAACAAAGUCGAAUUCCUGAAGAAGAAAAUACUAUCAUGGAAAGCAAAACAGAGUCAAGCUUCCCAAAGGAUGCAAUUGAAAAUGCCCUGAAAUCAGACCCUGAAGAGAAGGAUGAGGAAAUGCUAAAGAAUGACGAGUCCUCACAUAUUUUCCCAGAGUCCUCUCCCGACGCUGAUCAUAACAUUGCUGAGGGAUUAUGUCAUCAAGAUGAAGGGAACAAGAUAUAUGAGGAUGCAGCACCAGAAACUGCAUUCGGCAAUCAAAGCUGUGAAGCAAAUGAGGAGCAAAGAGAAACAGAGAAAAAAGAUAUGCCUAUGAAGUACAUUGACACUGUAAACAGUCAAGAAGAGACGAUACAUAAAGAAGAUUCUGAUAAUGUGGAAGAGAGCGAGAAGUGUGCAGGAGAGGAUGGAACCGCUUUAACACUUGAGCGAGCAUCUGCAGCAAAGGAUGAUGAACAAAGAGAAGAGAAAUUUCAAAAUCCUCAUGACAUAGAAUCAGAAAUGGACGUUAAGAAAGAAAAGACAACCUCUGAAGCAGAAAGCUCCAAGGUAGCGCACUUUUGGCAAAAACAUCACAAAUAUGUCCAUCUCCUUUAUCCAGUAUCCCACAUAUCAAAUUCCGAAAUUCCUAUUAUCUCCUCUUAUUUAUUCAAGAACUAUUAAGUUAGUUGAUUGUUAAUAUACAUAAAAAGGUGUAUAAAACCAAAUAAAAAGGAAAAUGGAAUCUUAAUUUUUUAAGGUUAUGAUAAAUCAACUUAUAGGUAAAUACACUACCUUAAAAAUUCACAACGACCAGCCAAACUAUGAACUUACAAUCACCCAAGAAAACCAUCAUCAAACAAAGGUGGUCUACAUACAACCUUUUGAGACAUCAGAUAGAUGUUUGCAUUAAAAAGUUUCAGCAAAGAAAAUAAGUUUUCUUAUCUGCUGUUACAUUCUCCUACUAGGCUUUUGUUAGGCUUCUAGCUAUAUUAGCCAGCAUAAUGAUAUCCUAAAUACCUUACCUUAAAUAAGUAAAAUCACAUAAAUAUGUUCCUCCCUAUAAACCUUAAAAGCAAAUUUGAAAUGUGUAAAAUUUCUAAUUUAAAAAUUUUUACAUUUCUAUUUUCCUGAUAUAAUUUGAAUGGUGUGCAGACCACAGCCUCAGACGGAUUGAGUGAAGAGGCGGACUUUGCAAGCGAAAAGGAUGAAAACAUGUGCAAGAAAGGUGAUUGUGCUAGAGAGACCGUUCAAGAUUUUUCGGAGGAAACUACUCAUAGAGCAGGGAAGGGCGGAGAGGAAACAGAUACAAAGAAUAUUGGAGGUGAAGACAAUGAUAGAGAUGUAAAAGGAAUCCCAGAUGUGGCACCUCAGGGAGAUUAUAAUACAAAGACACCAAAUAAUACAUACACAAAAGAAAUUAUGAUAGCAGUAGAACAAGAAGAUGAGGCGAGGACACAAGUGAGUUCAGAUAAUGAAAAAACAGAAGGUGAAAAGGUAUCAACAUAUCAACUCUGCCCUUUUCAACUUUUUUUAGCCUUUUUAAGCAUUUGCUAUUAACUAAACUGUUGAUACGUGUAAGGAAUUAGGGCUAAAGAGGAAACUUGAGCAACGAUUAUAUAAUUAUAUAGAUAUAAGUCAUAUAUGUUGUUUCCGUGAUAUCGUAUUUUCUUUUGUGCUUGCUAUCAUUAGCUUUAUUUUUUGAUCAAACCAUUUUAUUAACUUCUUACAAUUUCAUUUAAGCAGAUAUCCAGUGUCAAAGGUGACAGUGAACCCACAAAGGUGGAGGAUGAAUACAUAAGCAACACUGUUGUUGAUGCCUCUGAUACAGGAGAGCCAACUGGGAAGC